rnacentral:lncRNA from 1 species
UGUAUAUUCUCCCCACAAAAGUAGUUGUUGCCAAUAGUUUGUAUGAUUGACCAUGCGUGUACUUUUCUUACCUUAUGUUGCAACCAACAAUAUGUCUGUGUUGUGAAAGAUUGGCUGUUUUUUGGGAUGGAUCUCCUACCCUUUCACCUGACAGUCAGGUUCCCUUUAACCAGCUCUCAAACAUAAUUCCAACUAGACCAAGGCAGAGCAAUAACCCAAAGCUUUCUUCUCUUUUCUUUCUUCUCCAGGUUCUCCCUGAUGAUUGACUGGCUCACUGCAGACAGCCUGAGAAGUUAAGAAAUGUACUUUUGAUCUUUUUGUAACAUCAGCGAAAUGAAAUUAGCGGGAAUAGUUUUAACUUCACAAUUUGCUGGAAGACAAAGGAAACAACAACCACCAAUUGGAAAGAGCCCUGCUGCUCUUCAGGACAUGCAGGAAUUAGUAGACAGAAGUGGAAGAAACUUUUUUUUUUCCUCUGACAGGACAACUGGAUCAGAGACUGAAGCAGGGAAAGUACGGAAGAGGUAUCUAUCUUUAUCCCAGAGCACUAAGGGAGAUGAUUCUUUGUUCUUGGUUGUUUUGUUUUCUGUAAUUAGAAUAUAUUUCUCAGUCUGGAUGCUUUCAAGUUGUAAGUGGCUCGGGAUGCACAUAGCAAAUUAUUAUGCUGCUGGUCUAUAUGAGAAGCUUUAUGAGCCAUUCUAUAUCCUGAUUUGUUAAAGGAAAAUAAAACAGCAAAAAAAGUAGCUGAAAGGUACA